rnacentral:rRNA from 1 species
UGGGGAAUUUUGGACAAUGGGCGCAAGCCUGAUCCAGCAAUGCCGCGUGAGUGAAGAAGGCCUUCGGGUUGUAAAGCUCUUUUGUCGGGGAAGAAACGGUUCAUCUUAAUACGGUGGGCUAAUGACGGUACCCGAAGAAUAAGCACCGGCUAACUACGUGCCAGCAGCCGCGGUAAUACGUAGGGUGCAAGCGUUAAUCGGAAUUACUGGGCGUAAAGCGUGCGCAGGCGGUUUUGUAAGACAGAUGUGAAAUGCCCGGGCUCAACCUGGGAACUGCAUUUGUGACUGCAAGGCUAGAGUGUGUCAGAGGGGGGUAGAAUUCCACGUGUAGCAGUGAAAUGCGUAGAUAUGUGGAGGAAUACCGAUGGCGAAGGCAGCCCCCUGGGAUAACACUGACGCUCAUGCACGAAAGCGUGGGGAGCAAACAG